GUCCCCCUCCUUGACAGAAAAGGUCCGUUGGUAAUACGCGCAAAACAGGGUUGCCAGAUCUGCUGUGCCGCGUUCCGACUCCCCUCGCGUGCGCGCGCAUGACGUCAUGCGAUGCCGCCAGAUGCGAAAACAGACAGGCAUUAGACGGCGUACUGUAUUCUACAGGAUGAGAUGUGUCAUCAGAAUGAGUUUUAUGGGUCUCUGACUGCCAUUGUGGAGAAUGGUUUGCUAUAAUGGGACUAAAUUUUUUUUUGCUAACCUGGACAAAUAGCCAGUGAAAACAGGAAAAAGUACUAGGAUAACUGCUAGACACCUUAAGGCCCAUUCACACUGAUCCAACUCCAACUAACUCCAAAAAGCUCCAACGCAUUCUUCCCACAUACUGACGUAGAUAUGUGGGGGCGUGUUGGAACGAGCCGUUUUAGGGGGGUGUGGACAAGUCUUAACUUUUAUAAAGAAUAUCUAUAGAUUUGAGACUUUAGUCUUUGCAACUUUACAGAUCUUCUUUAUUCACCAAGAGCUUGUAACACUUCAAAGAGAAAGCAAAAAUUGAAAUCGCAGCAUAUGACCCCUUUAAUGGAGAUGGUCGGAUGGUAAAUGGAUAAUAAUGAUCUGUUUUAUUUGUAUUUUUUUUUAUAAAACUAUUGAAAUUAAUGGUGACUUUCAUUGAAAAACAACACAAGGAGAUGUUAGGGAAAGUGUUACUACUGACAAUUUAAGUUAAGGGGGACUUUCUCGUAGUGACUAGUGACAUGAUUGUUUAGAAUUCCCUCACUUGUAUUUUAUUUAAGAAGGACAGCCUAAAAAACACCAUCAAGAGAAUAAAUUAAGAGAAAAUUGUCAUUUUGCGGUGAACUAUGCAUUUUAACAAACUUGACAACCCCUUGGCAAUCCCUGUGACAAUUUUUUGUGGUGUUCCAACAGCUUUUGACAAAAGUGUUGGAUAAUGUAAAAUUUCAGUUAGCUGAACGAGUAAUUUGGAGGAAUGCCAUUCAGCCACUACAAAUGCAACCUUUAUUGCAACAUAACUAUUUUAAUUAUAUAGCAACCCAUUGUUGUAACUGAUUGUAAUAACACAUUGUUUACAUUACAGCCAUAUCAUUCUCAAUUACAUAAUCACUUUUUCUUUUUAGUUUGCAGAAUGUUUCUUAAAUGAUGAGUCGCUUCAGUUUUCCACAUCUGAAAAAAGUGUGGCUGCCCUAAGAAUGACUAUAGCUGCUUGUCUCCUGCAGAACACUGAUUGGCUGUGACGUGUGCCCACGUUGGUUUCACUGCAACUGUGUCCAAUGCUCAAGGAAACACAGACGUUCUGUUUCUCAUCUCAUUUCAUCAUUUCUUUUAAAGUUUUGUUAUUUUAAAACAUUCUGUUUGCUUAUUGUAAUUUCUAUGUAAUUGUAACACUAUGUAAACUGUAAAUAAAAACACUUAAUGAUUUUACCAUCUCGUGUUAUUCACAAUAGAAGAGUGAAAUCAUUAUAAAAAUAUGAUGAAAAAGUGGUACUAAAAGUAAACUGAUUAGGACAACUGACAACAGAUCAGUAACAUGACAUGAGUUGAUGUUGUGUAUGUGGGUCUGUGAAGGACAGUAUAAGUGUAAGUGGCAAAGGAAAAUAAUGAUGUACUGCCUUUAACUGUCAUUUUGCAUUACUGACACUGUUUUCCUAAUUAAUGUUGUUCAG